CAUAGAAGAAGGUGCUCUAUUCCGUUCCCAUUCCGACGCCACUCAGGUUGGUUUUGCCUGACAGAGGAAGGAGCGGUUAGAGACGACUGUGAUUGUCGAAGAAGUGUGUCAUCAUUUUCCAAAGGCAUCACCAUGAAUUAUACCUAUGAUGAAGAGACAUUUAAUUACUAUGAAGAGAAAUAUUAUUCCUAUGAAGACCCCACCCAAAAAGCUCCUACUGCAGUUGGGAUCGUGUCCUCAUUCUUCAUCAUUGCCAGCCUGUGUGUGGGAAUUCCAGCUCUCAUCUGGUCUCUCCACUCUCUGCAUGUUUGCCGCAAGAGCGGAGGCCGAAUCUCAGUCUUCAUUGUCUUCCUCCUCAUUAACGUCCUUCUUCAGUCCACAUUUAGCCCACCUGCAAUAAUGUUUAAUCUAGAGAUCUCCUGCGGGUCAAAAGGCUGUUACUGGACCUUUAUUCUCUUUGGUAUGGCUGAGGUCUGUGGGCUCUAUUUGCACCAGCUUGUGGCGCUAGAGAGCGUAUUACAUCUGAGACAUCCAGUCUACACUGCAGACCUUUUCUCUCUGCCAUGUUCAGUCACUCUUUCUAUCUCUGUUUACCUCUUUGCUUUUGCAUGUGCUGUUAUUUUGGAUAUGUUUGCAUUCUGUCUACCAUCAAUUGGAAUAUUAAUAGUUACGUUCAUUCUCACCUUUAAAGCCCCUCCUUCACAUCAUGACACGGUGACAAAAAGAAGGCCAAGGCAGUGGGUGC